UACGGAGGGGGCUAGCGUUGUUCGGAAUUACUGGGCGUAAAGCGCACGUAGGCGGCUUGGUAAGUUAGAGGUGAAAUCCUGGAGCUCAACUCCAGAACUGCCUUCGAUACUGAGAGUCUCGAGUCCGAGAGAGGUGAGUGGAACUGCGAGUGUAGAGGUGAAAUUCGUAGAUAUUCGCAAGAACACCAGUGGCGAAGGCGGCUCACUGGCUCGGUACUGACGCUGAGGUGCGAAAGCGUGGGGAGCAAACAGG
rnacentral:rRNA from 1 species